GACGAACGCUGGCGGCGUGCUUAACACAUGCAAGUCGCACGACGUGGCGAACGGGUGAGUAACGCGUAAUCAAACUGCCCUUCAGAGGGGGACAAAAGGUGGAAAAGAAUGCUAAUAACGCCUACUUAAGGAGGGGAUUGCGUCUGUUUAGCUAGUUGUAGGGGUAACGGCCCCCCAAGGCGAUUGUCAGUAGCCGGUCUGAGAGGAUGACCGGCCACAUGGGGACUGAGACACGGCCCAGACUCCUACGGGAGGCAGCAGUGGGGAAGCUUCCGCAAUGGACGAAAGUCUGACGGAGCAACGCCGCGUGAGUGAUGACGGCCUUCGGGUUGGAAAGCUCUGUUAAUCGGGACGCGGUACCGGAAUAGAAAGCCACGGCUAACUACGUGCCAGCAGCCGCGGUAAUU
rnacentral:rRNA from 1 species